rnacentral:tRNA from 1 species
GCGCUGGUAGUAUAGUGGCCCAGUAUACCGCGUUGCCAACGCGGUGACCCGGGUUCAAAUCCCGGCCAGCGCA